UAGCCCUUACCCCCCCAACUAGUAGUAUUAAUCUGUUAGGGAGGGGAAAGGCAUUGCUCCUUCAUCUCACAGCAC